rnacentral:rRNA from 1 species
GGGCCCGCACAAGCGGUGGAUGAUGUGGUUUAAUUCGAUGCAACGCGAAAAACCUUACCUACCCUUGACAUGUGCGGAAUCCUGCAGAGAUGCAGGAGUGCCCGAAAGGGAACCGCAACACAGGUGCUGCAUGGCUGUCGUCAGCUCGUGUCGUGAGAUGUUGGGUUAAGUCCCGCAACGAGCGCAACCCUUGCCAUUAGUUGCUACAUUCAGUUGAGCACUCUAAUGGGACUGCCGGUGACAAACCGGAGGAAGGUGGGGAUGACGUCAAGUCCUCAUGGCCCUUAUGGGUAGGGCUACACACGUCAUACAAUGGCGCGUACAGAGGGUUGCCAACCCGCGAGGGGGAGCCAAUCCCAGAAAGCGCGUCGUAGUCCGGAUUGAAGUCUGCAACUCGACUUCAUGAAGUCGGAAUCGCUAGUAAUCGCGGAUCAGCAUGUCGCGGUGAAUACGUUCCCGGGCCUU